rnacentral:rRNA from 1 species
AAUGGCUCAUUAAAUCAGUUAUCGUUUAUUUGAUAGUACCUACCAACUACUUGGAUAACCGUGGUAAUUCUAGAGCUAAUACAUGCUAAAGUCCCCGACUUCGGGAGGGGUGUAUUUAUUAGAUAAAAAACCAAUGCCCCUCGGGGCUCCUUGGUGAAUCAUAAUAACUUAACGGAUCGCAUGGCCUUGCGCCGGCGACGGUUCAUUCAAAUUUCUGCCCUAUCAACUUUCGAUGGUAAGGUAUUGGCUUACCAUGGUUUCAACGGGUAACGGGGAAUUAGGGUUCGAUUCCGGAGAGGGAGCCUGAGAAACGGCUACCACAUCCAAGGAAGGCAGCAGGCGCGCAAAUUACCCAAUCCCGACACGGGGAGGUAGUGACAAUAAAUACUGAUACAGGGCUCUUUUGGGUCUUGUAAUCGGAAUGAGUACAAUUUAAACCCCUUAACGAGGAACAAUUGGAGGGCAAGUCUGGUGCCAGCAGCCGCGGUAAUUCCAGCUCCAAUAGCGUAUAUUAAAGUUGUUGCAGUUAAAAAGCUCGUAGUUGAACCUUGGGCCUGGCUGGCCGGUCCGCCUCACCGCGUGUACUGGUCCGGCCGGGCCUUUCCUUCUGGAGAGCCGCAUGCCCUUCACUGGGUGUGUCGGGGAACCAGGACUUUUACUUUGAAAAAAUUAGAGUGUUCAAAGCAGGCCUUUGCUCGAAUACGUUAGCAUGGAAUAAUAGAAUAGGACGUGCGGUCCUAUUUUGUUGGUUUCUAGGACCGCCGUAAUGAUUAAUAGGGAUAGUCGGGGGCAUCAGUAUUCAAUUGUCAGAGGUGAAAUUCUUGGAUUUAUUGAAGACUAACUACUGCGAAAGCAUUUGCCAAGGAUGUUUUCAUUAAUCAGUGAACGAAAGUUAGGGGAUCGAAGACGAUCAGAUACCGUCGUAGUCUUAACCGUAAACUAUGCCGACUAGGGAUCGGGCGAUGUUUCUAUCUUGACUCGCUCGGCACCU